CCGAGAGCUCGGAGCUGCGCGGGCGCGGGGCUGCUGGGCGCGGCAGGGCUUUGCUAUGGCAGAGGCUGCGAGCGUGGUGCCGAGGGUCUUGUAUCUGAAAGAGCGGCUCGGCCAGACUCAGGAUCCCCAAAAGAUUAUAAAAGCACUUAAGGGACUUCAGGAUUUGGAUAUUUCACUGGACAUUCUAGUGGAAACUGGAGUAGGAAAAACAGUUAACAGUUUUAGGAAACAUGCCACUGCUGGAAAUAUAGCUAAAUCUCUGGUAAACCACUGGAAAAAACUUAUUCCGCCAGAAAAUGAAAGUGACCGCAAGGGGAAAAAACAGAACACAGACAAGAGGAACGAACAAGACAAGACAAAAACAUCAAUUUGUAAGGAGAAUAAGCACUCUGGCAAGACAAAAACAUCUGAACCAGCCUUAGAAGAUUGUAAAAGAUCUCCCACGUCUGAUAAAUGGAAGAAGGAGUAUAGUUUUACAGAGAAUAAGCAAAGAAAUAAAGAUACAGAGUCUUAUAAAGGGCAUGAAAGCAAAAUACAUAGCUCCAGUAGUUCUAAAAAUACAUCCCAAAGCAUCAAUCCUGAAAACACAAAAAGUGACUGCAAAGAAACAACCUCUGCUGCCAGCAAAAAACCUUCAGAAAAGCACCAUUCUCCUAGAGCCAACAAAAAAGAUCUAUUUCCAACAAAAGGGUCUUGUAAGGAUCUCUCCAAACGGAGAAACUCUGAGGACCCAGGAAAAUUAAAACAAACACUUAGUAUGGAAAGCAAACCAAAGUUGCCCAGUGAUGAGGACUUUGAGCCCCCUGUUAUGUCUUUUGAAUCCUAUCUUAAUUAUGAUCAAUUUUCAAGUAAAAGAAAGAGGAAGACUUGCGCUACAAGUGAACAGUCAAAAAACGUCAAGGGCUGCGAACAGAAAAGCUGCUCGUUAUCGCAGAAAAAUUCCAUAUCCCCUCUCAUGAAAGAGAGCGAGGAAGAACCACCCAAAUCAGAAGAUGAUCAGUCAGAAAGUGCCACUAAAAAGGCCAAGACAGCAUCACUCCAAGAGCUACUUAAUACGCCACUGCCUAAAUUUCUGCCAGAGAUAUCCUUAUCUUCUCCCCCAUAUUCUACAGAGUUCAAAGCACCAGUUGCAGAAGUACCCCAGCAAAGCAGUGAUACAAAUCAAUUCACAGGACGGAGAUUGAACUCUAAAAUGCAGGUUUACUCUGGCUCUAAAACAGUCUACCUUUCAAAGAUGCUAACCCUGUAUGAACAGUGCAUCCGCAUACUUCAAAAUAACAUUGAUUCACUACAUGAAGUAGGAGGAGUGCCCUUUGAAAUUCUUGAGCCCGUGCUAACACGUUGUACACCAGAGCAGUUGUUUCGAAUAGAGGAGUGCAAUCCGACAUUUAUAGAAGAGUCUGAUCAUUUGUGGAAGAAACACUGCCAAAAGGAUUUUAAAAACGAGCAUCUCCUGGAAUAUGAGUCAUGGCGUGAAAUGUACGUGCGGCUCUUCAGUCAGAGAGAAGAAAAACUAAAGACCCUCACGAAAAACAUUAUUUCAGCUCAGUCUGAGAAACCUAAAGGGCGACAGGUUAAACUGGCUUACAUACACAGUGUGGCAAAACCACCCAGAAAUGUUCGGCGGCAGCAAGAGAUCUAUGGGACAGCUGGACCUAUUAUUCAGCUGCACCCUGUUGAAAAGGGCAAAACAAAGAAUCCAGAAAGCAGAGACCGAAGUAACACCUCACCAAGCCAAAACGCAACCACUAGCAAUGUAACAAAUGGAAGCUCCAGCACUUACUCAAGUGGAGUAAGUCAGGAUAUAAAAAAAACUGUCAAAAAUGUGGCCUUCAGGGGAACCCCCUACACAUGGGAAGAGUGCUUCUGCCCGAUAAGGAAGUGACCAAAGUGUAGCAAGGAGGACAUGUUCCAAGAGGUGCUGCAAUCCUCUGAGGAAGAACAAAGAAUGCAGGGAGUGGAGAGAAAUGGAAGGCGGGACCGAGUCAGGAGCUCAUUCAAAAGGCCCAUGAGCAGAUAAGUCAUGGACGCUUAAGUCCUUAAUCAAGCUACAGUCAGAACAGAUGCAUGCUCAUCCCCACCCACACAGAUACAGAACUGUUUUCCAAUGUCCUCCCCAAACUCCUCCCACAUAUUCCUGUCAACUUUCUGGAACAUCUUGCUAUCCCGCUCACUCCACCCCUUCAGACCCCUUCCAAAAUGAUAGUUGGAUUUAUGCACAGCUAUGAGAGCCUUCAAUGCUCUGCACUGCUGCCUCCCUUCCCACCAAGUCUUUAGUGUGUGUUCAUUGCUGUUUAAUAAAAGCAAACUCUCUGAAAGAUAAACACUCUAUUUAUGUCCUACACAUAGUAAAACACAUACAUGCAGUUUAAUCAUUUGCUUACUGCAAUUCCUGCUCUGGAAUCAUCACAACUGUUAGUCAAACAAACAAAACUCCAAUUAAUGAAGCGUGGCAGAUUUCUGUAUACAAGCACACAUUACUGGUGUGUGCUCGUUCUCGUUCUCGUUCUCUCUCAAAAUGUUCCCUCAAAGCCUCCCUGGUUCGAAUUGUGCCCCUCUAAUGGGCCUGGCAUCAGGUUGCUCAAAAUCAGCAGCCAGGUAAUCUGCCUCAGCACUCCACUUCCUGGGCUAACUUUUCACCCUUAGCCUCACAAAGAUUAUGGAGCAUGCAGCAGGUAGCUGACCAUUGGAAUGUUUCCCGCACUUAGAUAUAACCUACCAUAAAGGCAGAACCAGCAUGCUUGUAAUCUGGCAAAGGCACAUUCUAUGGUCAUUCUGCACCUACUCAGCUUAUUAUUGAAAUGCUCCUUGCUCUUCUCCAGGUUUUCCCAUGUAAGGCUUCAUGGGAAGUAAGAGGUACACUGAGUUUCUCAGGAUCACUAUGGGUAUUUCAACAUCUCCCACUGGAAUCUUUUGGUCUGGAAAGAGAGUCCCUGCUUGCAGCUUUCCGUACAGACUAGUGUUCCUGAAGAUGCAGGCGUCAUGCACCUUCUCAGACCACCCUGCACUGAUGUCAGUGAAAUGCCCUCCUUGAUGAACAAGCACCUACAAUACCAUAGAGAAGUACCCCUUUCUAUUGACAUAUUCUGUUGCAAGAUGGUCUGGGUCCAGAAUUGUGUGUCAUCUAGUGCCUCGCUACAGUUUGGGAAUCCCAUUGCAAAGCCAUCCACUGUUUUAUGCACGUUGCCAAGAGUAAUGGUCCUUUGUAGCAAUAUGCAAUUAAUGGCCCUGCACACUUUUUUGUGUUAAUGCUGAUUCAGUGGUAGACUUCCCCACUCCAACCUGAUUCGUGACUGAGCAGUAGCAGUCUGGAGUUGCCAGCUUCCACACUGAAAUCACCAUGUGCUUCUACACUGAGAGGGUUGCUUUCAUUUGGGUGUCCUUGAGCCACAGGGCUGAGGCAGGCUCCACAUGCAGUUCCAGGAAGGUGGCUUUCCAUAUCUGAAAGUUCUGUAGCCACUGCUCAUCAUCCCAGACCUGCAUAACGAUGAGAUCCCACCACUCAGUGUUUGUUUUUGCAAGCCCAAAAGCAACAGUCCACCUUAUGCAGCUGCUCCGUGAAUGCUAAAGGGGCUACAGCUGUGCCACUAUAGCACUUCAAUGUAAAGACUACUUAUGCGAAUAGGAGAGGCUCUCCCAUUGCUGUAAGUAAUCUACCUCCCUGAGAGGCCGUAGCUAGGUUGAUGAAAGCAUUCUUCUGUUGACCUAGCUCCAUGUACAAUGGGGGUUAGAUUGCCUUAACUACGUGUUGCAGGGAGGUUGAUUUUUCUAACCCCUGAGAAACAUCACUAUGCUGAUAUAACUUUUCAGUGUAGACCAGCCCUAAGAUGUACAUCCAAAUCCCUUUCCUGGUUGGAAAGUCCCUGUUUAGAAACUAAUGGAAUUACCGGAAUAUAUUUAUUUAACAGGGAAUCUGAUGUUUCUUUUCAGGUUUCCAAAACAACUAAUUUUGUCUUCUGUGCUAUUUCUGUUGUGGAAAAGUGCACUUCAGUAGCAAAUCGGCACAGCAGCUGCUUCUCCGCUCUGACACUUCAUGGGCCAGUCACAUUUGGCUUUUCUUGUUCUUUUCCAUGCCUGUAGCAGUACACGGGAUCAGAGAUUAAUGUCUGAACUCAUAUCUUUAAUCAGGUACCAUGUUGAGCUGUUACCAUGUCAUUUGCUUGCACCCGUUAAAUUAGAGGAAGAUUUGCUAGAGGGGAGAAUUUUUAAAAGGCUUUCAGGGAUCAUCAUUUUAUAUCUAAGGAAUCUAAAAUCACAUCCUGCUAAUAGUCACAUCAAUUUUUUCUGUACAAUCCAGUGAUUUACAAUGGGGCUGGACCAUGGGCAAAGUACACCAGCCUUCAUUCAGGAUGUGUUAACCAGUCACUUGUGAGUUCUAACAAUGGACUGCCACUUUCCAUUUAUGGAAAAAGUAAGCGCAAAAAAUUGAAAGAGCAUGAGGAAGCUUUCAAAAAUGUCAGUGCAUUUGUUUGUUUGCAAACUGCAGAACUCACUGCUUCUAUUCAGAGGGAGCAACACCAGCCCGUCUUAAUUUUCAUCUUCCCACCUGCUUUCAAUAUAAAAUACUGUGUUAUACAGCUGCCAGAACAACUAGGAGAUUUUUUUUUUAAGACAUGUGGUAAUAUAAAUGCUUCAGAAGGUUAGGGAAGCCUGAUGCCACUAGAACAUUGAGAUGGUAAUGUUUGCUUUGAGUGUUAAUAGGAGAUACCCAUGUAAGUCCUUUGUACUUUGAUUGGAGAAUAAAUCUGAGGAAAGAUGUUACCUCUUGAAAAUAGCAGUGGGCUAGAUUGAGGAGGGCAUGUAAGAUCUCACUUGGAAAAAAUACUUUACAAAUGGUUGGAUUAUCUCUUCAAAAUCUUUUUUUCUGAACAGUGUGCCACGUAUACCAUUUUUGGGAUGGAUAGUAGCAGUGCUGGUAUUCCUGACAAAUGAAAAAAGUCUCCAUGUAAUGGAAAGUCAACAACAGCUUGUCAUAGUAUCCAUCCAGCUAAAAUAAAUAAAGCUAUUUUAAUACUAUUUUUGUUAAAAUAUUGAUAAAUAGAUGGCCUUGAUGAUGCAGUAGGCAAAACCAACCCAGCUGCAACCAAGCAAAAGGGCAGUGUGUCAAAACUAUCAACAUUUAUCAAAGAAAAUGUAUUACAUAGCCCACAGGUAGAUCACACUGAAAAUCAGGGAAAUGCUGAUAGUAAGCUUGGAUUUCAAGAAAAAGGGGGAAGAGGAUCUACUCUAAUCUGUGGAAAAAGUUUACUCACUUUGCGUGGAACACUACAGAUGAGUAUCUGGAGAAAAGAGAAGAGCACCUGGCAGGAGUCUAGGCUGGAUAAAAGUAUGAAUAACUGCAAUUGGGUUCUUACGACCUUUCCUCAUAAACCCAUGGCCAGCCAAUGAAGGUGAAAAAAGGCAUUACAGGCCACCACAUCUGUCUGCAAAUUGGGGAUGCAACCUGGAGAUCCCAGGCAUCCUUUUUAUCACUGUCUGUAAGACUCCAAAGAACCAGGAAGCGGCCAUGUAGAAGCAAAGAGGAC